AAGACCUUGCGCUUUUGGAGCGGCCGAUGUCUGAUUAGCUAGUUGGUAGGGUAAUGGCUUACCAAAGCUUCGAUCAGUAGCUGGUCUGAGAGGACGACCAGCCACACUGGGACUGAGACACGGCCCAGACUCCUACGGGAGGCAGCAGUGGGGAAUUUUGGACAAUGGGCGCAAGCCUGAUCCAGCCAUGCCGCGUGAGUGAAGAAGGCCUUCGGGUUGUAAAGCUCUUUCAGCCGGGAAAAAAAGGCUACGACGAAUAAUCGUAGCUCAUGACAGUACCGGAAGAAGAAGCACCGGCUAACUACGUGCCAGCAACCGCGGUAAUACGUAGGGUGCGAGCGUUAAUCGGAAUUACUGGGCGUAAAGGGUGCGCAGGCGGUUUUGUAAGUCAGAUGUGAAAUCCCCGGGCUUAACCUGGGAACU
rnacentral:rRNA from 1 species